ACKGCUCAGUAACACGUGGACAACCUACCCUAUGGAGGGGGAUAACCCCGGGAAACUGGGGAUAAUACCCCAUAGACUAUAGAUGCUGGAAUGCUUUGUAGUUGAAAGGUCCGCCGCCAUAGGAUGGGUCUGCGGCCGAUUAGGUUGUUGUUGGGGUAACGGCCCAACAAGCCUGUAAUCGGUACGGGUUGUGGGAGCAAGAGCCCGGAGAUGGAUUCUGAGACACGAAUCCAGGCCCUACGGGGCGCAGCAGGCGCGAAAACCUUACAAUGCGGGAAACCGUGAUAAGGGAACUCCGAGUGCCCGUAAAAUCGGGCUGUCCAUCUGUUUAAAUAACAGGUGAAGAAAGGGCCGGGCAAGACCGGUGCCAGCCGCCGCGGUAAUACCGGCGGCUCGAGUGGUGGCCACUAUUACUGGGCUUAAAGCGUUCGUAGCUGGUCUGUUAAGUCUCUGGGGAAAUCUACUGGCUUAACCAAUAGGCGUCUCAGGGAUACUGGCAGACUAGGGACCGGGAGAGGUGAGAGGUACUCCAGGGGUAGGAGUGAAAUCCUGUAAUCCUUGGGGGACCACCUGUGGCGAAGGCGUCUCACCAGAACGGCUCCGACAGUGAGGGACGAAAGCUGGGGGAGCAAACCGGAUUAGAUACCCGGGUAGUCCCAGCCGUAAACGAUGCGCGUUAGGUGUAUCGGUGACCACGAGUCACCGAGGUGCCGAAGAGAAAUCGUGAAACGUGCCGCCUGGGAAGUACGGUCGCAAGGCUGAAACUUAAAGGAAUUGGCGGGGGAGCAC
rnacentral:rRNA from 1 species